GGGUCGGCCCUGCGCAGCAGAUCGGUGUGAACCCCGCCAGGUCCGGAAGGAAGCAACGGUAAGCGCUUUGUCUGGGUGCCGCAGCAAGCCGGCUCCAC
rnacentral:SRP_RNA from 1 species